UGCAGUUCAAAAGCUAAACCUCCCAUUGGAGAACAGAAAAUUUAAUGAGCUUUUAAUGGAAUGCAAUGCUCAGAGUAGUAAAUUAUUUGUUAGUUGACGAUGCAAUCAGCAUGCUGAUUAAGGUUGCUUGGUUUUUUACUAAACAUUAACUGAAUGAAAACGGGUAGUCCUUGUUCUGCUUGGGGGGCUUUAAGGAAGCAAAUGGACUUUCAGAACAGAGAUUGUCAAUAAAGUGAAAUCAAUAGACACCUGCGUUCCUGAGUUUUUCAAAGGAAUAACUGACCAGAGUCAAGUAUAAAACUCAAGGACUGAAAUGGGAAGCCAGGAAGUUGCUUCUCUUAUGCCUAAGUCAUUCCCAAGUUGUAAGAGAAGGACAAGGAAACUUGCUGCCCUGAUACUGCCUUGUUUCGAGAAUUCCCAUCUUGAGACCUAUGCUACAACUCUUGAAACGUUCAUUCCUGAUUUUGAGAAACCAGCUCAAUGGUUUUUGAGAAGUUUCAGCAGGGAAUAGUGAGGAAACCCACUCGGUGCACACCGCCGACCCCACAGAAGAGUGGCUGCUGGCUGUAAGCUCACUAGGAAAGAGAAGACUGCGCAGCACCUUCCUCAGCUUCCUUCCGAGGGUUCGGGAGAGACCUGCUGGUAAUGCAGAACACCCAGGCAGACGCACUGACAGCAACGGCUCCACUCUGGGGAUCACUUGUGAGUCAUUUUCACGAGGCCUCCGACUCAUCUCCACAGUCUCUUGCCACAGCACAGGGUCACCAUUCAUCUGGAAGGACCUGCUGUGCCACCCACGUCAUCAGGGUUGUGUUCCAGGUGCCCCAUCUUUGGAAAUGCUUCUCUGCAAUCUCUCCCAAAAUAAAGGUAGUAAAAAUACAAGAGAACAAGAUGGAACAAAGCCAAUCAAGACAGUACAGUGAAACUGGUACAGAACUUCACAGCAGGAUACCGGGAUAACAGUAAUAGGAAACAGCGGUCCAAGAGGGAACAAAGUGAGGAAAAUGCAACCCAUGGUACGACGAAACAGAAGGACACUGAGCUGCGGGGACACUGGUGCAUUUUCAUCCACUCCAGGAACCAGAAUAUCAUCUGUGGAUAGUGCUGAGUCUACCUGAUUCCGCCAUCUUUCCCUAAUGAUACCUAAGGACAAUACUUAACACAAAAUAAGUCAAAAAACAAUCAAGGAUAAUGGAGUACUGGAUUAACUGCCUUCUACUUUGACCUGCACCUGCAUAACCAGAGUUCUCUGGUCUUCAAAGCUGACACAUGUGGCAUUUGACUUUCUUUGUCCCAUGAAUAGCUAAUGUCCUAUUCAUUCAUUCUUUCUGUCCUUUCCAAUUUAAGCCACACUUGUAUCACCAUGUCACUUUUUUGCUGUUCCUUCUGCUACUUGCUUAGUUCCACUGUUCCCAAACUUAAAAAAGAUUUAUUAAGAAGGAAAUGCUAUCCCACUUUACCUGCUCACUCCUAUCCAGCUCUCCUGCUCCUGAUGCAUAAGAGACCCAUCCUGUGUCACUGGGGUCAAUGACGACUACUCACCUGCUCGUUCUCAGUGCUAAUGAUCUUCAGUGACCCAGCAUCUGAACCUGUAAAUCAGGAUGGAGAAAUUGUUGUACGGUGGGAUGUGGUAGCUUAAAGAUGUUAGUCAGGUCUUGCUGUUUGAAAUUAAAGGUUAGCAGGAAACAAGCAGAUUUCUUUGGCUCUGAACUGGUGGCCCAGGCAUGAAUUGCAGCACCUGUUAAUGACCCCAAAGCUAUUCUAGUUCUUAAAGUGAUCCGUCGCUGCCCUGUUGGAAACAGACAUUAAAGGGAAGAAAAAAGAUGCUGAAAACCAAGUAAACAAAAGACUGUUAGAAAAGCAUGCUAGUUCUUGCCCGAGUGUGCUCACUGAGAGGACUUGCUUCAUCCAACAUAUUCUUUAUCCGAGUGACGUUUCAGAGGAUAUCCUGUUUGGAAAGAAAAACAAGUAAACAAUCCUCAGCAGAAAGGAAUUAGGCCAAAGAUGUUACAGGUCAUGGCUUUGUCUUCAAGAAACUCACAUCCUGAUAGGAAUCACUGCUUUCACUUAUAACUGGAUCCAUCGAAGUCAGGCCUUCACAGGGUGGAAGAGGUUGUAUGGAAGUCUUUCUUGAAAUUGACAUAUGAUACUUGCACAUGUUUACAGAUUCUAAUUGAAUUAACAAGCAAUACUUGGCAUAUUGCUAUCAGGAAUCGAAAAUACCCAGAAGGAGAAUAGUUGGUGCAACUGGGACCUCUACUCAUAGUUUUUGAAGAAUCGCCACAUUGAUUUCCACAGUGCUUAUACGAGUCUACACUCCCAUCAAUAACAGAGAAGAGUUCCUUUCUCCCACAGCCUCUCCAGCACUUGUUGUUGGUUGAUUUCUUGAUGAUGCUGUUAUUUCUGCAAUGAGGUGGAAUCUCAAAAAAAAAAAAAAAAAAAGUGAGGUGGAAUCUCACUGUUGUUUUAAUUUGCAUCUCUUGAAUGACCAGUGUUGUUGACCAGUUUUCAUAUACUUAUUUGCCAUUUGUAUUUCUUCAUUUGAGAAGUGCAUAUUCAUCUCAGAUGCCCACUUAUGGAUUGUGGGAGAAAGGAGAAAGGAAGGAAGGGAAAAGGAAAAAAAAAUACAUGAUGGUUAUACUACUAGUUUCUCUUAGUUCAUUGAAAAGAAAGUUUGUGCUAUUCAGUUUGCAGAAUUUUCCAUGCCCAUAUCUUGUACUCUGAAUAACUACUCUGAAGAUAACAGUACACAGUGAGUUAACUCUUGCUGCUCUCCUAUUAUAUUAUAUGAAAUUGUUUGGGUUUUUUGCAUAAAAAGCAAGAAUGGCAAAAAACAUUAACUUUCCAGUCUCUAUAUAUGAGAAAGCCAAGCCAGAAAAGCACUAAGAAUGGGUUUGAGAAAACUAUUUAUCUACAAUGCUGGCAUAGGAAGCUACCAGGCAUCCCUAAACUGGGUCUGAUGACACGGAGGACCUUCUACUUCGGACUCUUAAUGCCUAUGACAUUGUGUUCUUGGUUUCUGGAGCUAACUAUAGGACUCCUCAUAAAGUUUGUGUGUCUUCAUUUUACGAGCUAUGACAUGUAAAUUGUUUAACACAAUGCCUGGCACAUUAAUACAUUAUUAAUACAUUAAUAAACAUCAGCAAAUGUAGAAAUACACAAUAAUCACUGACCCCAUUACUGUACAUAACCCAUAGUUCUCCUUGACUACUUAGAGCGAGCACAUUUCAUUAUCUGGGCAUUUCCUUUACCUUUUCAAAAACAUUUGUCCAAGGAAUCUCCCUCUCUAGCUCUGGCCACAUCCUCCGAAAAGGAGCAGGUGACACCCCACAACGCAGGGCCAGGGAGGUUCUUGCCACUGACCCCGGUGCAGAGUCGUUCCUGUCUCCCAAAUGCAUGAAGGCCCAAGCGGCCCAGGAGCCCUGAGCAAUACCGCCGCAGUUCCACACGAGGUCUUUACUGCUGGAACUCUUGCAUAAUGACAUCUUUAUUCAUGUGAAGACACAGGAUGGGAUUGAACUGUAUGAAAUUGUUUAUGUUCAUCAGAAAUGUUAUUUGUCUUUACAAAGUCUAGUUUCAAUGAACCCGCUAUGUAAUGGAUAUUAAAUAAACAUGGAAUUUUACACGUUCAUAA